GGAACGGAACGGGCCGGGCGGAGGGCGCAGCCAUGUCCUUCUGCUCCUUUUUUGGGGGAGAGGUGUUCAAGGACCACUUCCAGCCGGGUAUUUACGUGUGUGCCAAGUGUGGCCAUGAGCUCUUCUCCAGCCGGGCCAAGUACGAGCACUCGUCGCCGUGGCCGGCGUUCACCGAGACCCUGCGCGGGGACAGCGUGGCCAAACGCGAGGAGCGCCCGGGAGCCUUAAAGGUGACGUGUGGCAAGUGUGGCAACGGGCUGGGCCACGAGUUCCUCAACGAUGGGCCCAAGAGGGGCCAGUCCCGCUUCUGAAUAUUCAGCAGCUCACUGAAGUUCCUCCCGAAAGGUAAAUCUGACCUGACGGAAAAAUAAGUGAGCUGCUGCACCUGGCACUGCCCUGGGCUCAUCCUGCCUUCACUCCUUGGGAUGCGCUGUCCUGCCAAGAGGACCCACAGCAGGAGCAACCCCAAGGAAGCUCCUGCUCCGAGUUUUCCCCUGAUUUCGUGGUCACGGUUUCCCCUUGAUUUCCCAGUCAAGGUUUUAUUCCCUGAUUUCCCUGUCAGGGUUCCCCUGUUUUCCCUGGGCCAGUUCCCCUCAAUAUCUCUGUCACGGUUCUCCCCGGGUUUCUCUGUCCUGGUUCUCUCCUGUUCUCUCCUGGUUUCCCUGUCCUGGUUCUCUCCUGGUUUCUCUGUCCUGGCUCUCUCCUGGUUCCCCUGUCCUGGUUCUCUCCUGGUUCCCUGGCCCAGUUCCUCCCUGGGGCUGCUCCAGCUCCAUCCAAGGAGCUGCUGUGCCUGUGCUGAGCUCAGGGAGGGUUUGCUGCUGACAGUGUCCAGAGCCCAGGCAGGCACUGGAUGCACUCCAGGGAGGCUCUGCUGGCACUUGCAGGGACUAAGGCAGGAUUAGCCCAGGCCAGGGUCAGGGUUAAUCCCUGGAGCUAUUCUGGGCUGGGAUCAUGGUAUGAACUGCCCUAUAUAAACCCUCCAGGGCGCUGGGGCAGGGAUGUUUUAUGGUCCCACAUGUUUUCUGGGCAGCAUCCAGGUGUUUUCCCCCUCUGCCCACCUCCCACACUGCAGAGACGGUUCCACACCGGGGCCCUCGACUCUGCCCUGGCCUUACACCUGAUUCAGCGCUGUGCAAUAAAUUCCAGGGGCACUUGGCUUCCUCCUGGCUGUGCCCUGCAGGGAGGGAGGCUGGAAUUGGGCCCCAGAACUGCACUUGGCACCGCUCAGGCUCAGCAUUGUGGCUGUGCUGCCUCAGUGCUCCCAAGAGCUGCCACACUGAUCCUCCUCAGUUCAGUGCCUCAUUCCUGGCCUUCCCUCCCUGGCCCAGGAGCCAAAUCCUCCUCUGGAAGGGAUCCACGAGGAUCUUUAAAGAGGGAAAAGGCUGUUGCUGACCCGUGGGUUUAGAGGGGCUGUGCUGCUGGUGCAGCUGCACUUGGGGACACUUUGGGGGCUUUUCUCUCCGUGUGUUUUCCCUCAAUCCCACGGAUCCCAGGGCACCAGGGCAGGUUUGCCACCCCUGGAGCUCACUGCAGGUCUUGUACCUCUCCAUGCUGAAAUAAAGCACUGAUUCACUGU
ensembl:lncRNA